GCCAAUGAUCUUGGUGUCGGUUUCCUUCGGGAAUGAAAAGGGAAUCCGUUCCAGCUUAGGUUGGGAAACGGAACUGCCCCCGCAACUGUAAGCGGCGAGCGCUUCUCAACAUGCCACUGGGAAUACCCGGGAAGGCGAGAUGUGCGAUGACCCGCCAGUCAGGAGACCUGCCGACGCGAGCGAAACCAC
rnacentral:ncRNA from 1 species